GAUGAACGCUGGCGGCGUGCCUAAUACAUGCAAGUCGAGCGAACAGACGAGGAGCUUGCUCCUCUGACGUUAGCGGCGGACGGGUGAGUAACACGUGGAUAACCUACCUAUAAGACUGGGAUAACUUCGGGAAACCGGAGCUAAUACCGGAUAAUAUAUUGAACCGCAUGGUUCAAUAGUGAAAGACGGUUUUGCUGUCACUUAUAGAUGGAUCCGCGCCGCAUUAGCUAGUUGGUAAGGUAACGGCUUACCAAGGCAACGAUGCGUAGCCGACCUGAGAGGGUGAUCGGCCACACUGGAACUGAGACACGGUGCAGACUCCUACGGGAGGCAGCAGUAGGGAAUCUUCCGAAAUGGGCGAAAGCCUGACGGAGCAACGCCGCGUGAGUGAUGAAGGUCUUCGGAUCGUAACACUCUGUUAUUAGGGAAGAACAAAUGUGUAAGUAACUAUGCACGUCUUGACGGUACCUAAUCAGAAAGCCACGGCUAACUACG
rnacentral:rRNA from 1 species